rnacentral:rRNA from 1 species
AGGAAUAUUGGACAAUGGGUUAGCGCCUGAUCCAGCCAUCCCGCGUGAAGGAUUAAGGACCUAUGGUUUGUAAACUUCUUUUGUACAGGGAUAAACCUACUCUCGUGAGAGUAGCUGAAGGUACUGUACGAAUAAGCACCGGCUAACUCCGUGCCAG